AAUAGUUCUCCAUGUUAGUGGGUUUUGAAUGAAAGGUGGAGUUGGAAGAGAGGAGGGUUAUGAGAGGUGAGUAGUAGGAGUUGUGAGUCCAUUAGCGUGAAAGAAAAGAGAAAAAGAGAAGAAUGAGAUAUUGUCUAAGAUUUUUUUGUUAGUAGUGGAAGACACGUCAGCAAAUUAACUAGUAAAAAGAGAUAAAGAGGAGUUUAUGGCUAAUUGAAUUGAAGUUUAGGAGGUUUUAUAUUAGAAAUUGAAGUUUAAGGAUAGUAUUAUUACAACACUAUAAGUUGAAAGACAAUCAGCGAAAUUUACCCGCAAAUAAUUUCAUAGUUCCUCAUAAACUUUCUGUAGUGGCUUGUGAGCUGUAGGAA
rnacentral:lncRNA from 1 species